rnacentral:rRNA from 1 species
GACGAACGUUGGCGGCGUGCUUAAUACAUGCAAGUCAACUGAAGCAGUGGUAGCAAUAUCGCUGUGGAGGUGGCGCACGGGUGAGUAACACGUAGGUAAUCUGCCUUCAGGUCUGGCAUAACUCCGGGAAACCGGGGCUAAUAGCAGGUGAUGCAGCGGCUCGACAUCGAGACAGUUGUUAAAGCUAUGGCGCCUGAAGAUGAGCCUGCGUCUGAUUAGCUAGUUGGCGGGGUAACGGCCCACCAAGGCAACGAUCAGUAGCUGGUCUGAGAGGAUGAUCAGCCACACUGGAACGGAGACACGGUCCAGACUCCUACGGGAGGCAGCAGUAAGGAAUAUUGCUCAAUGGGAGAAAUCCUGAAGCAGCAACGCCGCGUGAGGGACGAAGGGCUUUUGCUUGUAAACCUCUGUAGUGAGAGAAAAAAAUCCCAAUCUUUGGGACAUGAUGGUAUCUCAAAAGUAAGCCCCGGCUAACUACGUG